rnacentral:rRNA from 1 species
GGGCGGUUCGCUGCCCGCGACGUCGCGAGAAGUCCACUGAACCUUAUCAUUUAGAGGAAGGAGAACUCGUAACAAGGUUUCCGUAGGUGAACCUGCGGAAGGAUCAUUG